rnacentral:lncRNA from 1 species
AAGAAUGUGGUGGUGCUGGAGGAUCUGGGUGCGGAUUACUUGGACGAAUUGUUGAAGGUGUGUAUGCAGGACACUAGUCAAAUUUCCUCACUGCUUCCAUGGUGAUGACCUCAUCGGAGUUCAUCACUUACUGUAAAGGAAAAAAAAAGACAAGGGUAUCAAGGGGAUCGUAGGAGGAAGAAGAUGAAUUCGUUAAUUUUUGUGAAUUCUAUAUUGGGUUUGUUUCU